UGCCCAGCAACUACUAUUCCCUACCUCUUCACGGUACUGGCCGGGGUAUGAGCAAUCUUAGGGAAGAUCGAGUAGCAAACCCAGAAACUUUGUUCGUAUGGUGACAGGGAAGG
rnacentral:ribozyme from 1 species